ACCCUGUAUCGCCCCUAUGAGAUAUGAAAUGAAACCCUAAGGAAUGUUAUCAGUUUAUUCAACUCAAUGGUCCUCUUCAAUGCGAUAAUUACUUUCUUCAGUAAAUGUCAUCAACAAUCUAUGCAAUCAAUCGUUUCGGCUUCAAUGGCCUUGUCCGUUUAUAGCAAUCCACCGUCUUAAUAAGUCGUCACUGAAAUCAGGUAGAGCUACAGCGGACACAUGGCGGAGAUGGCGACGUCCGGGCGCGUUCACCUCUCUCCCUUGGCUGCUUCACCUCCUCUUUCUCCACUGUGUUCGUAUAUUAGUACCACGUUAGGUUAGGUCUGCGACAUGAAAAAGUCGGAGCUCCUACAUCAACAUCACCGGCGAUUGUUAGAAGAACUGUCUAAGCGGUUGAUUUAGAUUUAAGACCUUCACAUGUCGGCAACGCUUCAGUUAUGGUUUCUCUUAUCAGUUUUGUUAUUUCUUUUUUGGUAAUUAAAUUCCAAUUUAACUUCUUUUUCUUUUUUUGUAUUUUAGAAUUAGAAGAAAGCAAGCAGAUGUGGAGUUUUAAUUGAACAAAGUUGGCAUGUGCUAAUUGUUUGAUUUUUUUUUCUGUAUAGCUACUGAAAUAAAGUUGAUUUGUAUAUUUGUAGGUGGAAGCUGUUAGAUUUUGUGGAACUUAAUGUGUGAGUCUUGAUAAUCAAGAAAGAAAGAGCCAUUUUGUGUUGGUCCAUAUGCAAGAACAACGGCUGCAAUACCAAGAUAAAUAUGCAAUGGAUGUUGAGAAUCGGAAUUUGAAAAUCGUUGAGAAAUUUGAAUGUCUGAGCCACCUAGAGUCGUGAGUUCAGUAAUGGAUGUUGCUGAAUCGGAAUCACGACCGGUUGUGGAAUUGCGUAAACCGGUUGUGAAACCUAAGAGUAAAGUAGGAAAACGGGAGGAAGUUAAGAAAUCGUCGUCGUCUGUCGCUGUGACGGUCAAUUUGUCGCUACAUUCUAAGUUAAUUACGCCUCCGCCGCCGUCGGUUUUCAGAUGGAAGGAUUGUAAGAUGCUGAAGUCGAAUUUUUCGUGUCGUGCUCGUCGGACGCUUCCUCUAAUUCUUCGCACAGUCGAGCGUCUGUUGGGAGGAUUAGUCGACGGAGUGUGACGUCGGUCCGUGGUAAGGAAUCUGCUGGUUUGAGAACUGGAAAGGUUGAGAAUGGUUUCAGAACAGUUUCGAAAGUAGGAAAAGUUGAGAGUGGUUCAAGAGGUGAGAAAGUUGAAAAUGUUGUGGAGAUUGAUGGUUCUUUGGAGGAUUCGGGUGAUGCUUCGCUGGGACGGAAGAGAUGUCCUUGGGUGACGGCUAAUACUGAUCACCGAAGAUCCGUUGCAGCAUGCUUGGUCAAGGAGUAUACAUCUUAGAGCGGGACCGACAAGAAAACCAUCAAGCAUCAGAAGCUCUCGCUCCUCCAUGGUGGAACUUCUUCCAGUGUGACUUACACAGUCAACUCAUAGACGACGUCGAUUCAUGCAUCUUCGGUGCCAUCUACAAAUCCAAACACCCACCUUCACAACACACCCCGUUUUACGUCAUCGCUUUCCGUGGCACGUUAAUCAAAGGGAACGUGUUCUCACAUGACUUGGAACUCGACAUCCACAUCAUAAAAAACGGGCUGCAUCUUAACAUCAAGAUUCGAUGUCACUAUGCAAGCGGAUAGAAACCUGGUCGGAAGUCAAGCGUCAAAGUCAAACAUUUGGUUGACGGGCCAUUCGUUAGGAUCCGCAAUGGCGUUACAUGCGGGAAAAUGAAUGGCGAAAACCGGGAUCUUUCUUGAUUCAUAUCUUUAUAUUACAACUUGCGAUUCCUAUGUUUAAUGUAAACUAAAAACCCCUGUAGACUUUUUUUUGGGUGCCAGAAUGUAUAUAGAAUGAAGCAUACAUUAUUUAACUA